rnacentral:rRNA from 1 species
GAUGAACGCUGGCGGCGUGCCUAAUACAUGCAAGUCGAGCGAACAGAUGAGGAGCUUGCUCCUCUGACGUUAGCGGCGGACGGGUGAGUAACACGUGGAUAACCUACCUAUAAGACUGGGAUAACUUCGGGAAACCGGAGCUAAUACCGGAUAAUAUAUUGAACCGCAUGGUUCAAUAGUGAAAGACGGUUUUGCUGUCACUUAUAGAUGGAUCCGCGCCGCAUUAGCUAGUUGGUAAGGUAACGGCUUACCAAGGCAACGAUGCGUAGCCGACCUGAGAGGGUGAUCGGCCACACUGGAACUGAGACACGGUCCAGACUCCUACGGGAGGCAGCAGUAGGGAAUCUUCCGCAAUGGGCGAAAGCCUGACGGAGCAACGCAGCGUGAGUGAUGAAGGUCUUCGGAUCGUAAAACUCUGUUAUUAGUGAAGAACAAAUGUGUAAGUAACUAUGCACGUCUUGACGGUACCUAAUCAGAAAGCCACGGCUAACUACGUG